rnacentral:lncRNA from 1 species
CUUGGCGUAUAAGAACUAGAUAGUCAAUUGCUUGUUCAUCACUAAAUCAAUGGAUUUCAUGAUAACUCGUGUGUGGACAAAUUUGCUAGUCAAGGUUUCAACACAAAAAAAUUUACAUGACUUAAUCAAGUUCAUGAUAGCAUUUAUAAAUAUUUCUUAUAUGACAAUCUAGGUAUAUAAAUGUUUAGAAUUUCCUCCUAAGGGGUUUUGUUUUGGUCCCCCCUGCUUGUUUUUGUUCUAAUUUUUUUUGUUUUAUUGGAUUAGAUUU